rnacentral:rRNA from 1 species
AUUGAACGCUGGCGGCAGGCCUAACACAUGCAAGUCGAGCGGAGCGGCGGACGGGUGAGUAAUGCCUAGGAAUCUGCCUGGUAGUGGGGGAUAACGUCCGGACACGGGCGCUAAUACCGCAUACUAUCAGAUGAGCCUAGGUCGGAUAAGCUCGUUGGUGGGGUAAAGGCCUAACAAGGCGACGAUCCGUAACUGGUCGGAGAGGAUGAUCAGUCACACUGGAAUGGAGAAACGGUCCAGACUCCUACGGGAGGCAGCAGUGGGGAAUAUUGGACAAUGGACGAAAGACUGAUCCAGCAAUGCCGCGUGUGUGAAGAAGGUCUUCGGAUUGUAAAGCACGUUAAGUUGGGAGGCGUUACCAACAGAAUAAGCACCGGCUAACUUCGUGCCAGCAGCCGCGGGAAUAC